rnacentral:rRNA from 1 species
UGAGGAAUAUUGGUCAAUGGACGAGAGUCUGAACCAGCCAAGUAGCGUGAAGGAUGAAGGUUCUAUGGAUUGUAAACUUCUUUUAUACGGGAAUAAACGAAUCCACGUGUGGAUUUUUGCAUGUACCGUAUGAAUAAGGAUCGGCUAACUCCGUGCCAGCAGCCGCGGUAAUACGGAGGAUCCGAGCGUUAUCCGGAUUUAUUGGGUUUAAAGGGAGCGUAGAUGGGUUGUUAAGUCAGUUGUGAAAGUUUGCGGCUCAACCGUAAAAUUGCAAUUGAUACUGGCAGUCUUGAGUACAGUUGAGGUAGGCGGAAUUCGUGGUGUAGCGGUGAAAUGCUUAGAUAUCACGAAGAACUCCGAUUGCGAAGGCAGCUUACUAACCUGUAACUGACAUUGAUGCUCGAAAGUGUGGGUAUCAAACA